UACGUAGGUGACAAGCGUUGUCCGGAUUUACUGGGCGUAAAGAGCGCGCAGGCGGUCGUUCAAGUCGAGUGUGAAAGCCCCCGGCUCAACUGGGGAGGGUCACUCGAUACUGAUCGACUCGAAGGCAGGAGAGGGGAGUGGAAUUCCCGGUGUAGUGGUGAAAUGCGUAGAUAUCGGGAGGAACACCAGUGGCGAAGGCGACUUCCUGGCCUGUUCUUGACGCUGAGGCGCGAAAGCUAGGGGAGCAAACGGG
rnacentral:rRNA from 1 species